GACGAACGCUGGCGGCGUGCUUAACACAUGCAAGUCGAACGGAAAGGCCCUGCUUUUGUGGGGUGCUCGAGUGGCGAACGGGGGAGUAACACGUGAGUAACCUGCCCUUGACUUUGGGAUAACUUCAGGAAACUGGGGCUAAUACCGGAUAGGAGCUCCUGCUGCAUGGUGGGGGUUGGAAAGUUUCGGCGGUUGGGGAUGGACUCGCGGCUUAUCAGCUUGUUGGUGGGGUAGUGGCUUACCAAGGCUUUGACGGGUAGCCGGCCUGAGAGGGUGGCCGGCGACAUUGGGACUGCGAUACGGCCCAGACUCCUACGGGAGGCAUGCGUGGGGAAUAUUGCACAAUGGGCGGAAGCCUGAUGCAGCAACGCCGCGUGCGGGAUGACGGCCUUCGGGUUGUAAACCGCUUUCGCCUGUGACGAAGCGGGAGUGACGGUAAUGGGUAAAGAAGCACCGGCUAACUACGUG
rnacentral:rRNA from 1 species